UAAACUGAUGCCUGCUAGUUUAGGUAAAUAGCUGUUAACUAUUUUUUGCGGGAUCAAGGCUCGCCAGUUUUA
rnacentral:tRNA from 1 species